CGCUGGCGGCAUGCCUAAGACAUGCAAGUCGAACGAGACGACCUCAGGAAGACUGAGUGCUUGCACGAAGUUGGAUCGAGAUCAUCGUCUAGUGGCAGACGGGUGAGUAACACGUGGGUAACCUACCUUUAAGCUGGGGAUAACAGUUGGAAACGAUUGCUAAUACCGAAUAAGAUACUCGUAUUGAAAGAAGCCUUUAAAGCUUCACUUAAAGAUGGGCCUGCGGCGUAUUAACUAGUUGGUGAGGUAAUGGCUCACCAAGGUAACGAUGCGUAGCCGAACUGAGAGGUUGAACGGCCACACUGGGACUGAGACACGGCCCAGACUCCUACGGGAGACAGCAGUUAGGAAUAUUCGUCAAUGGGGGAAACCCUGAACGAGCAAUGCCGCGUGAGUGAUGAAGGCCCUAUGGGUUGUAAAACUCUGUUGUAUGGGAAGAACGGUCAUAUUAGGAAAUGAAUAUGGAGUGGCGGUACCAUACCAGAAAGCUCCGGCUAACUACGUGCCAGCAGCCGCGGUAAUACGUAGGGAGCGAGCGUUAUCCGGAUUUAUUGGGCGUAAAGCGUGCGUAGGCGGUUUAUUAAGUUUAAGAUAAAAGCCCGGGGCUCAACUCCGGUUCGUCUUAAAAACUGG
rnacentral:rRNA from 1 species